AUGACCAAAGUAAUUAAUCUCAGAAAGCAUUUUACACUGAGGAAUAAAAUGCUGUAUGUUGGAGGAAUUAAGCAGAUGUUAUAAUAUCUCCAUGCUAUCAUGCAGAACAAAACCUAGCAGCUGUGUAUGCCAUGAAAAUGAACUUAAUUAAGGAGACCACUAGCGGUGCCUCUGUCAGUAUCAAAAUACUAACACAAUUCAGGCAUAUUUCAUAAGAGAAUGCUUCCCAGCGUCUUCUACUCAGAAUUGCACUCCUGGCUCAAAAGCAGUCAGGUAGGAUGCCAGAGCAGCCACAUGUACUUUUCUGAAGCAGACUUUUAGGCUAACCCUAGCAGGCAGCUAAGCACCACAAAGCAGCUUUCUCUUUCCACUCAGAGGGAUGGGAAAGAGAAUCAGAAGAGCAGAAGUGAAAAAAUCUGUGAGCUGAGGUAAAUGCAGUUCAAAAUGCAGAUAGAGCAAAAGUCAUGCACACAAGCAAAGCAAUACAAGAAAUUCGUUUGCUAUUUUCCAUUGGCAGGCAGACAUUCAACCACAUCCAGGAAAGCAGGGCUCAUCAUGCAUAACAAUUUUUGGAGAAGACAAACAUCAUCACUCUGAACAUCACCCCUCCUUCUUACCCCCAGCUUUAAUUGCUGAGCACAAUACCAUAUGGCAUGGGGCAUUGCUUUGGCCAGUCUGAGUCAGCUGUCUCAUUUCUGACCCCUCCCAGCUACUUGUGCCCCCCAGCUCCUUGCUGGCAGGGCAACGUGAGGAACAGGAAAGUUCUUGGCUCUAGCACUGAGCAAGGACUUCACAUCUUGUGGAGCAACUGCUGCUAAGUAGUGAAAGAAACAUCAACAGCCAUUAACCAAUGAGAGAAAAAAGAGUGAGGGUCUGACAUGAAAGCCCUCUGUGGAAAGCGCUAUAGAAAGAAGGGGAGAGGAGACAAAUGAGAUAAGUUUCCUGAGGUUCUGUGAAAGCUGGAGCAGAAAAAGUGUCAUGUCUGUAAAUGAUGUUUGUACCCUCCUGAGACCCUCUUUGUGCUGAUGUGACCGCCCAGUAAACUAUGAGGGAACAGAGUCAGCUAAGAAAUGACCUACCAAAAAACGUGCAGUAGCAGUGCAUAGCAGUGGUGGCUGUCAAUACUCUUGUGUGAUGAAGGCUGGAUGAUAACAAAGCUACAAUAGUGACACCAAAAGAAAUACGCACCAAACUAUGAGAGGCUCCAUAUCCCUUAAAGAUGUUGACAAAACUGGCUUUGUUGAACAAGACCUUCAGUAUGAAUGUAUUAUUUUGAAGCAUGGCUCUUUAUUUCCUACUUUUCUUUUUUUUUCCUAUGACCAGAUCAGUUCUCCCAUACAGGUCAUAAUGUGGCUACACAGGUAGCUACUGGCUCAUGGGCAAAGGCAGCAGGAAAUAGAAAUGGAACUUAGCAUAUGGUCAGUGGCAACCAGGGUGGAGCAUAGCAGAUGCAUACAACAACAUGUUUUCUAUGUAUUUGCACUGAUGUAUGUGGAAGAAACAGCCUUGUUUCCCAUGAAAACAAGAUGUUAACUGUAGAGUUAACAUCAUUCACUGUUUGUGUCUGAAAAAUAUUAAAGAAAUCGGUGUGAGCAGCAGUAGUCACAGAGAGCAGCUCUUUCUGUGUGUUGCUUUCCAGUAACAUUCUACGUAGCUGUGGUUGUCAAACCCUGGCAGAAGUACAGGGAUAUAGAGAUGAAACCUUUAGUGUGCCUGUGAAGAAAACAAUACAUAUUUCUUUGGUCAGCUUUAAAAAAAAAGACGAAAAAGAUGUUCAGAAAAAAGUGUUUCUGUGGCAAUUAGGAAGACACAGUUGUUUGCAGUGUGAUCUCAGGAACCAGUCCUGUUUGAAGGACACUUGUUCUUACUGUGGCUCCAAUUCAGGAAGGAUGUUUUGUCAUUCUGUGAACCCAGUAUACAGCUGGGAUUGAAUGGAAAGGAAGGGCAAUUUAUUUCUCCACAAAUUCCUUUGGAAUUGCUUUAGGCAUGACAUUAGAGCCAAAUUAACUUUCAAGAAGCAGCUACUGAUGAAAUAGCCUUCUCUGCCUGCAGUUCCCUACAGUUUUCCCUCCUGGGUCUUGCAAGACAGUUUGGAUGACCACAGCUGUUCCACAGUGCAGAUCUUCUCAAAAAUUGGUGCUGGGUGACAGACUACAAAGGCUGGAGUUGAUUUUGUACUUGAAGUACGACAUGCGUGUACUCUGAAAAUUAGGUAAUUUAAAGCAGCCUUGGCUAGAUGAUUCAGUGACAAAGGUAGCUGGAUCCUGUAGUUAGUACAGAAGAUGAAGGCAAUAAAUACUGCCAUGGCUUGGGAUGCAGCAUGGUGAAAUAGAUAGGAAUUUCUGAGUCGUAAUUUUUGCCUGCAGUUUGUUGCAUGGAUGUUCAGUGUGUGGUGAAUCUGCACAGCUUUUCAUUUUCCAUUAUUUCCAAGGAAAUUACAUGUGAGGGGAUCUUAUCAAUGCUUAAUGGUUGAGGGUCUUUAAGGAUGGGGCCAAGCUCUUUGUUAGCGGUGCCCAAUGAUGGAGGACAACGGGCACCACACAGGAAGGUUCCAUCUGAGCUCCAGAAAAUAAAUUAUUUACUUCGAGGGUGACAGAGUGCUGGAACAAGCUGAUCAGAGAGACUAUGAAGCCUCCUUCUCUGAAGAUAUUCAAAACCCAUCUGGACACUUGCCUGUGUGACCUGCUGUAGGGAAUCUGCUUUAGCAGUAGUUGGGCUGGGUGAUCUCCAGAGGUCCCUUCCAGCCCCUAUGGUUCUAUGAUUCUUUGAUUACCUCUUUCCUCCAGCUGGAAGAGACAUUUAUAAGAGCUCUAUCCUGUGCUGACUCUCUGCUCUUUGAUAAAAGCUCACAAGAGCUCUCUGAAGGGAUCCUUGGCUGUCCCUGCACUGGGGCUGAGGACAGACCCAGCCAUUGUGGUGGAAGAUGCUAGCCCCAGCUGCCUGCCUCCAGCAUCUAGCCAGAGGUUACACCCCACAAACACGCAGGUAUUUUCAAACCUCUUUCAGAUAAGAUCAGCUGUGAUAGUUUAUGCAGCUCAUUUUCAAUAGUCUGCCUAUGGUUGAUGUGUGCAUGAGAAGUGUUGAGAUGGGAGAUAGAAACCCUCUACAAGGAGUAGUGACAAACAGCUGAGGACUGAUUACUAAUCAAUGGCUUCUACUGGUGCAGCUAUUUGCGGAGUUCACAUCCAUCUAGUAAACAGAAGUUGUAAGCUUGCACUUAAAAAAGUUAGUCAUUCUGAAUGCUGUCACUGUAAAAAUUUGUCACAUUGUACCUGGGUAUUUUCAAAUACCAAAUUCCAGUUCACAGGCAAGCACCAGAUGCUGUGAUAUGAUCCUUCCCAGAUGUAAAAUCUCUGGAGGUUCCAUGUCUACAAAAUACAAGCUACCCAGGAAUAUCCCAUUUCAUUUAAUACUAGUUUGGAAAUGUGUCGUCUGGUCAUUCCAAUAUAAAGUGUAACCAGACAGUGCACACGCGUAGCCUCACAAAAAAGCUCUUUAUAUCCCAGGGAACACAGCUGGCCAAGAACACUACCACAAACAAACAAGAAAACAGGUCACUCACUGGGUGCUUCAGAAGCACUCUCUGAGAUUAUUCUGCCUGUUAAUGCAUCAGCUCUGUGAUUUCUUUUUUACAGCUGCCUAUCACCUGCUAGAAAUGCUACCUUCUUUUCUACUUUGUUACAGAUACGGAAUAAAAGUACAUAACACAGGGGGAUUUUCCACCAUCUGCUAUAGAUAGCAUCUCCAGUGUAGUACAAGAACUAAAGUUAGAAGAAAAAAUGUCCAUGUCAUCAGGGGAGCGCUGGAAAUGGUAAAGGAUGGGAAAGCAAUUCAGAACAGUGUACCUGAUGCCUACAGAGCAUGUUUUGGGUACCCCAUCCCUGGUGGCACUCAAGGCCAGGUUGGAUGGGGUCCUGGGUGGCUGAGCUGGUGGGUAGCAGCCCUGCCUAUGAUGUGGGAGUUGGGGCUGGGUGUGUUUUGAGGUCCCUUCCAACCCAAGCCAUUCUGUGAUUCCAUAUCAACUUUGGUUCUUUUUCCCAUUUAAGGCAGAAAACAAAAUCGUGUAACUCUGAUUCCUAUAAACAAUAUGGACUUUGAAUGACUCCUAUGAUCUGAAUAAAGGGUUUUACAGG
ensembl:lncRNA